GGUUGUGGCUCAGUGGUAGAGCACUUGCUUAGCAUGUGCGAGGUCCUGGGUUUGAUCCUCAGCACCA
rnacentral:tRNA from 1 species